rnacentral:lncRNA from 1 species
AUCCUUUGGAGCCAAGGACUGAACUGCCAUGCAAGACCUCUGCCAACUGAGGGUUUCAUGAGCGCACUCCCUUGCCAAGAUCUUGGUGAAUAGUCUUUCACUGUGCAAUUGUGUCUCAGACAUUGUUUUACUUGUUAUCAUGAUUGUGCUUGGCUGGAUGCUUUUUGUUGGACUUGCAUGUUACAUGGGCACAUUUCCAGAGUUCACGGUAAGUAAUGACCCUGCCUGUGAAUCCCUGGUAGUAGUCAGUCCUGGCUCUGACUCCACCUCCCAGCCAGGGUUUCUGACCAAAUGGGAAAGACAGUUGAGGCCUCAUCACUAAUUAGAGGUCAGGGUGCAGUGGGAACAAAGUUGGCUUCCCAGGCUACUUCUCAACUCACUGGGAUUAUCUUUAAGUUCCACCCACCCCUUGGGUACAUAACAUUACUUAUUUUAAAUUUAUAAGGGGUUUGCUGGAGAAAGUGGAUUUCAGGCAAAGUGGAUCAAUGGUCGCCGGCUAGAAAGGGAAGGUGGGCAUUGGUGGGACCUCCAACAGUCACGGUCACAGACAGAGGCAAUUACCUGCUAGGCCAACAAGUAGAACCGCUUCUGCCUUUAAAUUUCUUUCUGACUCAGCCUCCAACUCUGAAGUGGAAAGAGAAGUGGCCUGUUCAGGAGAGCAAGACACGACUGAGGAGCCUGGCUUUGGAUGAAGAACCACAACUAUGAGUGAGUGGUCAGGUCUGCUGGACUCAAUUCCUCCCUUUCCAGAGAACAUGGCAACCCCUUGAAAUCUCAGUAGGAAGUUUAUAUUCCCCUGGGAAACAAUAAACUGUAGAAAGGGAAGUGGGUUGAGAUAUGUGGUGGGGAAAGAGAAUUCAGUGAGCACUGCUUUGGACAGCAGGCCAAGGCUCAAAGAUUUGUUAAGCACAUCUUAACUGGUAUUCUUCCCAAAGACUAUUCCUGUCUAUUAACUUGUUUUCUCACAAACUCUGUAGUAAGUCGGACCAGCGUUUUUAGCGCCCCUUUUGGCAGAUCCCAAGACAGGUUCAAGUUCUAACUUUGCAACUCACUAGCUACGUGACCUUGGGAAAGUUUAAUCUCUCUAAACCUCAGUUUCUUCAUCUGUAUAACGGAGAUAUCUGUGUAUCUUACUGUUUUUGUGAGGCUUGCAUCUGGGAAUUCAUGUAAAGCAUUUGAUGCAAAGCAUUUACUAAAUGCCAACUUAACAACCAAGCAAAAUAAUGAACGGGUCCACAAAGAUUUAGUGGUGACAGUAACCUCAACUAUUUACCCAAGGCCAUACAAAUCAAUUCCUUUGAGAAGCUGGGAUGCGAGCAUAGUUCUCUGGACUUAACAGCCUCUUGCACUCGUUCCACUAGACCAGCCUGCCUUUAGGAGACAGGAAUAGCAGUAUCCUUUUCACAACCGUCUCCUGGCUUUCUUCCCUCCCACUCCCUUUCACUCAGAUCUGGUUUUUCAAAGGUGUUCCCACUGUUAAAGAAACUUUACUCUGAGAGUCUUAGUAAUGAACUGAUAACAGGAGCAGAUUUUCUGGGAAGCUACUCUGGAAAGCAGUGGUAUCAAGUCCUAACCCCAGGUACACUGAGAGCAGGGCAUGAGGGUUUGUUUGUUUGUUUGUUUUUUUCCAUCGGCCCCAGUAUUUCCAUGCAAGUGUUGACCCAGCUCGGUCAGAUCAUUGUUGGGGUGGGGACGUAGAUGGAGGCCCUGGGCACUUGCUUAGCUGAGGCACUGCCACCCUGAUCCUGACCAAGCCACUGGAAAUGUUCUGUGCCUCAGGUUCUCCAGCUUUGAAAUGAGCAGGACAGCCUAAUGCCCUCUCUUCCCUUUCCAGGGAAGGGAACCCUACACGAUGAGGGUUUAAUUGUGACAUUUCGCGAAAUGUGAGAUGUUCAUUUGUUUGGUUUUUUGCGAAUAGCCUAACGAUAGUCUAUAAAGUAAUUGCUCAUAGCAUACCUAGCCAAUCCUCCCAAUUAAUCCAGGGUAUUUUUUGUUUUGUUUUGUUUGCAUGGCACUGCUUUUUGCAUCUGAUUGCAUGAAAGCAACAGUUAAUAUUUUGACAGGUGAUGAGUUAAUAAAGUUCUGAUGCCAGCUAGAUCCUGACCGUGUAGAGUCACCAGAGAACAGGGCCCUUCUUUUAAGGGUUCUUUGGCCCCAACACACCAGGCACCCUGGCCAGUUGUCCCAUAGUUACUCGAUCUGAUGGGUCCCUCCAAGGUCACAGGAGCUGAUGUCACAAUUGGUGUCUGAGCUCUGCCCCCUAAAAUGGCCAUGGCCAGCCAUUUCAGUUCACACUAGACCACGAAGCCCCUCAGCCAGGAGCUAUCAUGCUGGGCGAUCCGCCAUCCGGUCUGGAAUGAAGACAGCCCAGCUCCCAGGACUCAAGGAAUAGAGCGCCACACCUUUCAGAACCACCUGUUUUCCCCAGCACAUCCCACCAGUGAGCAAGAAGCCCCACAAUGAUUGUUGUUUUAUGGUUGCUUCUCAUUGCAGGAACCAUGUGGAAAGGAUAUAAGUAUCCCCCAGGAGGGGUAAGUGUGCUUUCAACUUUGUUCUCUGUUCCUCCUUUGAAAUUUAUUCCCCCAGAUCCAUGAGCUGAGCAUCAAAAUCCAACUUUAGAAACAAAUCGUCUUUUCUUGAUUAAGAAAGUGGUGGUAGCUUACCUGCCUCUAUUGUUGCUCGCUGAGAGUUCCCUCUUUCACGUCUUUCUUUUAUACAUAUUUUCCUAAGAGUCUUUACUCUUACAUUUUUCAGUUUUAUAUAACCUGGAGGUAGAGAGGUAAAGACUCAGGCAAUGCUGUCUGACAUGGGUGACCUAGUCUUGUGCUCAGGGGCCAUUUUCAGUGCUGGGGUCUUCAGUCCCAUUUCUUAAAUCAGCCCAGACCAGCAACCCACCCUUAACUCUCCCUCAUCAAGUAAAGGGUGGUCUAUAAAAUGGUUCUGGUGCUAGAAAUCUUCUCUCUUCCUGUUAGACCUUGGAUAUGUGUCCUUUCUCUGCCUCUUGUCCGCUCCCACAUGGCUAAGCCCCUCUGGCAGUGGAGGUCAGAGACAUUAAGAGACAGAAUUGGACAGAACCACUUCUGCCUGUCUUUGGCAAGGAAGGCAAUUACCUCAGCCGCACACUCUGGCAGACACUAGAGAAGGCCCACCUGACAUACUUUUGUCCCCCCAGACCCCGGUGGAAGUAAGCAAAGAUGAUCCUGGUGAAGUCAUGCAGCUCUGAAGCUCACCUGGCCUGCUGUAGAGUUCCUGUUGUUGGUUUCGCAUAAAGUAAUUGCACAUUAUUUUGUCACAUUUUAUGUAAAAAGUUACCGUACUUUUUAAGAUGAAGAGCUGAUAUUCUGUUAGCUCAAAACAGGGAGAUGGGGGAGGGUAGUUGGGUUAGACGAACGUGAUUGGGUGCCUCUGUUUCAGUCUCUAAGACUAAAGUCUUAGACUAAAAUACCUAGUUCAAUUUGCCCCCUAUUCUGAAUCCUUAGGGAUAGAAAUUCUCUAAAGCUCCUUUGACCUAGUUCCCGGGUGUAGUCUUCCUCCUGCAUCCAGGGUCCAGGGUCAAAAAAACGUUCAGAAAAUGCUAGAGAUUGCAGCAACUUUAAGCCUAUCUUUUGGGGAUACUCUUCUGUGGCCUUUUCACAGCUGUUACCAACAACCUUCUGUGGCCUUUUCUCAGCUGUUACCAACAACCUUCUGUGGCCUUUUCACAGCUGUUAUCAAGAACCGAAGGCUUACACUGUGUGGGGGAAGGGAUGUCAUUUUAAUAUGAGGUGCUAGAUACUAAAUUAAACAUUACUUUAAUUCUUAUAAGCUUCUGAGCUGGGCACUAGCCUCAUUGAACAAAAGGUUACAAAUGAAGUUGAGAGACUCAAGUAUCUUACCAGCUGCACAGCUCUGGGUUGGAGUUAAGAUCAAGAUCCAGGCCUUCUCCUUGGCAUACUUUUAUGUGCCAAGGAAAAGAGCCAAACAAGAGACUGGAAUAUCCAAGAUCUUGGCUAUCUCUUGGCUCAAGUGCCCCCUUCAUUUGAAUAGCCAAGAAGGUGCCUGAUGAUUCUUUUAGCAGUAACCACUGCUAAUACAGGGCAGCAUGCAUACAUAGAAACAAAAGCUAAGUGCUCAGUCCUCAAUAUGAUGCAGUUUGAGUUUGAGACCAAGUAUGGAAACUUAAGACCCAUGCAAUUAAUCUAGGUGUUUCAGCCCUAGGAUAUUCCUCAUAAGCCCUCUCUAGGGGUGGUUUGGAAUUUUCUGACCUUAACGGGGUUGGGGGGGGGGAGGGGGAAGAAUCCAACAAGAACAAGUACUUCUAAAAUAAACUGUAUGGAAACUUUCCCAUUCUGUGGCUACUUGGGGAUGACUGAUAGUUCCAUCAUUCAGAAGUGCAUCCUUACCACCAAAGUAGAUCUUUUUGGUUAUGUAGAUAACAUUUUGUUGAGGACUAUUUAGCACACAUUUGCUAAACUAUUUUUAAGUGGCCCUUUGCACUGAAUGAAUUGCCUUUUUUUUUUUUUUUUAUGGAAAGAAAAGUGAAUUCAAAAUCCAUUAGCAACACUGGAAUCCUGAAUCCAGGAUACUAUCUCUUAUAAGGCUUCUUAUAUGACCUAGACUCAACACAUCCCAUUGAGCUAAGUGCCUACAUUUUCUGGCUCCGUGGCUAUACCAACUUGCCUCCUGAAUAUCCCAAAGGACUCAUCUUGUCAGUUGUUUCAAGCUCUUUUAUUACAGGGGAUCAGAACCUUUGCUUGUUUUCUUGACAAGAGGAACUAUACACCCAGUUCUUCUUCCCUCUGGUUCCCUGAAUAUACCUCCAAACAGUUCUCCGGCCUUCAGAGUAGCUCUCUUUUUUUUAAAAAAAUUUUUUUUUUUUCAACGUUUAUUUAUUUUUGGGACAGAGAGAGACAGAGCAUGAACGGGGGAGGGGCAGAGAGAGAGGGAGACACAGAGUCGGAAACAGGCUCCAGGCUCUGAGCCAUCAGCCCAGAGCCCGACGCGGGGCUCGAACUCACGGACCGCGAGAUCGUGACCUGGCUGAAGUCGGACGCUUAACCGACUGCGCCACCCAGGCGCCCCCAGAGUAGCUCUCUUAAGCUGGUGGGGUGAGGGGAGAUGGGUCAGUUGUGGGGGUUGAGCAGAGGUCAGUACGUCAGAGGGAAUGAACAGGUGUGUGUGUGUGUGUGUGUGUGUGUGUGUAAGGAAGCACACCCCAUGUCAAGUCUGAUGAGUCUACUGGGGUUUCUAGCUGGAAAAAUGUUCAGGGUGAUGAAAGAAGGAAUAUCUGAGUUUUGGUAAAUAAAUGCAAACCAGUGAAAAUAUCAAUAAAAUAUUUUUAAUGCCUACAAUUUCUUUUAUACAUAAAUUGCAAAACUUUCACCUGUAUAUGCAAAAGUAGAUUCUCUUGCAGGUCAACAGCACCAGAAAACAAGCUAAACUAUGUAAAUGUUUUUUUUUUUUUUAAAACUUGAUUUGUCCAUUAUGUAAAAGACAUGAUGGAUUUAAUAACUUCAAAGAAAUCUAUAUCCCACUCUUAAUCAUACACUAAACACCUGAAUAUUUAUUUUAUCACAUCCACUCACAAAAUAAAUAGUAGUCUAAUAUAUUCAGCACAUUGAAAAUAAACCAACCAGUUUCUCUUCAUAUAUUUAUUCUCUUUCCAAACAUGUUUUGGUCUCCUGCUAUAUCUCAGAAAUGUACUAAUAGCUGCUUUUAAGUUACAAAAUACAAAACAGUAAUUUCUUGGAGAAAAUCUUGGGGUAACAUUAAAAAAAUGAUAUUUCGAGUUCCUAUAGACUUUCUUUUUUGUUAACAGUCUUUGAACCUUCUCAUGGCACACAUGUAAGGCUGUCUGUGACAUGUGGUACCCUGGCCUCCAAAUGGACGUAAUUGCAUUUAUAGUUUAGAGAAAAUACAAAGACAAGUUUUUGAAAGUAGCCUUAAAAGAAGAGUGCCCCUUGCUUUGACAUAGCAAUAUCAAAAGCAAGUGGGACUGUGCAAUCAGAGCCAUAUGAGUUUUAUGAAAACUACUUUCUUUUCACAUCAUCUGUUAGAGAAUGCCACACCCAUGAUCAUGUAACAUUACAAUCGUGAAAUAACAUUACUACAUUCGUGAAUUAACAUUACCCAAUAAAAGGCACAUCUUCAGAUAUUGAAUUAAUAAAAUCUGAAAAUCAAAACAGUAGAGGAUACAUUAAAAACCAAGCACUUAAUUUGUAAACCUUUAUAAAAUAACAGCUUAUUCCAGUUUCUUCAAAGGUUUGUGAGCUUUUUGUAAGAGCCGUCAGGAAUUGCAGAACAAAACGGAAGACAGGAUUUGGAAACAAGGCCAAGAUUAAUUUAAAAGACUUUCUCAGGACUUUCUUUUUAAAUGAGCUACAGAAGUGCCCUUUUAUAAUGUUGAUGCCGAGGAAUAAUAUAAUCAACAUCUGUAGAAGAAAUACACUCAAAAGUGGUAGAUGCCUAAGGACACGACCUGACUCUUCCUAUGAAGUUCUAGAACUUUUAUCUAGCACAGUGGUGCCUUUCUGUACAAAUAACUGCACGUCGAGUAAAGUGCUAGUAAACAUUAAGCCACCAGAAAUCUUUCAGCUAUGAUAAGCACUUGAUUGUAAUAGAUUUUCAAAGAGUCUAAAUACUGAAAAAAUAUAGCCCAGAAAACAACUUUUGUAGGGGUGGGGCGGGAGGAAGCACAAAAGUGACAGCAAAGGAAAUAAUGUUCCAAACCUGUUUUAUUACGUGGAACACCACACUACCCUUAAAUCAAUUUCACUGAAGAUAUUUUGAGAUGGGUGAGAGGCAGUCAACAGGAUUUUCUGCCAGUGUGACAAUUCUAUGUAGAUCAUUAGAGUGUUACUCCUGGUGAUGAAGACCUCUUUCAGAGGAUCCAGCUUCAAAGUUAAAUGCUUGCACUUUCGAAAUGUGAAACUCAAUUCGAAAUGAGUCAGAGUCUUAAGGGACUAGGUCAAAUGGUUGUCCCAUCAAGGGAGGUAACAACAGUAAUGUAUACCACCCAAACUUGGAGAAUAAAGAAAGCUUUAUGGAUAAAAAGGAAUACACCAAAACAACUUUUGGAACUGUUCUUCAAGCUUAUGUCCCACUGUCCCCAACCCUCCACAUUUAGAAUUAAGGACAAAAGCUCUCUAGCGUCAUCAUAUCUCAUUUUCUGUUGCUGACUUUUCCUUGAGACUUGGCUUCUCUCCAGCCAGAACCUAGGUCAGCCUGAUUGGAAUUGCCUGGGUUUGAGGCUUAAGAGAUCUCAAGUGUAAAAAUAGGACUUGGAAAAAAGUGAGAAUGAAGAAAGUUCCACAGCCCGGUAAAGCACCAGUAGCAGGGAACGUCCUUUUCUACCUGGGAAAAAAAUCUCUUCACAGUGCAUAGUUUGAAAUAAAAGUGCAAUAUGGGCAAAAAGAGAAGGUGGUGCUCUCAAUACACGUGAAUUUAGUUUUUGGCUUUUGGCAUUAAUUGCUAAAGAAUUUAAGAUAAAAUGCAGUCGUUAACAUCAAGAGGUACAGGGGCACCUUUUUCCAAAAUAUCUUUAUAGAGAGGGAGGAGGGGAGUCUCACAUGUCACUUCCUUAUUUUUUAAACUAUUACUCUUCCAAAUCUAAUGUUUGAAUAAAAUAAGCAUUUUUCUUCAGUAUAAAAAUGACUUUUCUUAGAUAAAAAUCAAUCAGCACAGUGACCUUGUGUAUUUUACGCUAAAGCCAAUGUAACAGUAAAUUUGAAAGGAAAACCUGGAAACAUUAUUUUUAAACUAAAUGGCAUAACUUGUAUUUUAACUGGAAAAAAAAAAUUUGUUAAUUGCCUUACCACCUAAAUUAGUGAAUAAGAAUGCUCGGCAUCCAAUCCGUGAAUAAUGUAAAAUACGAUAUAAUUUAUUCUACUUUUUACUUCAAAGUCACAGAGAUGACAUCCAUACGAUAAUUAUAGAGCCUACUCUACAUUUUCAAGUUCUCAAUCCAAACAUAUACAUUAGGACAGGUCACUUUAUUGCUGGCAACAUUCACGGAAGGGCCAGGUUCCUCAUUAAAAGACAAAGUUUGAUUGGGAGCUGGGCAGUGCUCUACUCACACAUCAGCAGAACAUGAAGAGGCAAUCCUUUUUUUUUUUUUUUCCUUUUCAAAAUAGCAAAGGAACAAUGUAAGAUUGGCUGACAGUGAGCAGCCCCCGUUAGAGUGCAUAGCUCAUCAGGAUCAAGGCGGGCACCUGUGAACAGUUAACUUCAUAAGCACGCUCACUGGGCAUUCUAUCAUCUGCAUUAGAUUUAACCCUGGAAAGUAUCUGAAAAUACUUUAUGCUCCAAUGACAGCCUGCAAAUAACAGUAUGCGUUCCUUCUCCUUGAGUACCCAAGUAUAAAUUAAAAUCAUAAAGGGGCUUCUUCAUUCUGAAGGCAGGACCUCCUGGCAGCAGAGUGUCUCCAGAACUUCACAAAAAUAAUAAAAGCAGCAGCUAACGCUUCUUCAGCUUCUUAGCCUUUCGACGCUUCAUUUCUUCUUCUUCACGUCUCAUUUCCUCUAAGUCCUCCUGCAUACCUAGUCUUAAACUGUCACGCACAAAAAAAGAAAAAAAGUACUUGUCAAUAUACAUGACAUUACCACACUCUUUAAAAAUUAAGAAUGAAAUUUCAACUGGGAGCUCAUAUGGAAUGUGCUGAGGCAUUAAAAACGCCUCAAGGCUUUACCACUGAAAACAAACUAGCAGGAAUAUUUUUUACUAGGAGCCUCGGCCACUGAUUCAACUUCUAGUAGAAAAAAGACCUCACAUAAAACCUCAACAUAAAAUACCUUAACAUUCCCAUUAAAGUAAUAAAAUGUAAAUUAUCACAAUGGCUUUUAGAAAUAAAAGAAAAUUUAUUCAAUAAAUAACAUUCUAUUCUUAUCCCUUCGCAUCACCUUAGUUGGAUAUUUUAUGUAGUUACAUGAAGGGAAGGCAAGAGGCAAGAGGUUUAAUAUUCUGGGUUGAGACUGAGGGGAAUUAUCUUACCAAGUUAACACUAUAAACAAAGCAAUCUCUUGUUACCCUACCCUAAGAACUUAUCAUGAAUUUUAUUAUCAGGUAGCCAAAUAGGAUUUAGACAAAGAAUUUCAUAUUCCUCAUCAGGUCCCUAUGGCCAGCAGUGGUACAGGUCAGCAAGACUGAGAUAUGUUUGAUGUAGAAAGGGAAUUAAAGACGGGGAAAGAAAAACAAGGAACUUGUUACAAUGGGAUCAGAGGAGGCCUCCAGCACUGACUGUGUGCCUAUAUAGGUGAGGCACCGCACUAAGCAACUUGUAUACUUAAUGUGAUACCUCAAUGGGUAAAAAGAGUAAAUUCUCAUUUUACCCAUGAGAAGACAGAUUGAAAAAAAAUUUUUUUUAAGUUUAUUUUUGAGAGAGAGAGAGCAGGGGAGGGAGAGGCAGAGAAAGAGGAGAGAGAGAAUCCCAGGCAGGCUCCACAAUGCCAGCACAGAGCUUCACGCAGGCCUUGAACCCAUGAACCGUGAGACUAUGACCUGAGCUGAAAUCAAGAGUCGGAUAUUUAACAGACUGAGCCACCCAGGUGCCCCAAGAAGACAGAUUUAGAAAGGCUAAGGAAUUUGUCUAAAGUCCCACAGCAAGUAACCAGGAUGGGAAUUCAGAAGCGAGGGGCCCCAAACCUCUGCUCCCAAUGGUGUAACUGAAGCGGCAAACAGAAAGGAACGAUUAGGACAUUUCUGCACAAAUGUGUUCAGUUUUGUGCUUACCUCUUUGCUUCUUCCUUCUGCUGCUCUUUCCAACUACUCUCCAUGUAACGUAAGGCAUAAUCACUUUCAUCUUUGUAUCUGAUAAGAGGAAAUCAAUGUUGUUAGGGAAAACACCCAAAUUCCCAAAUAUUUAGGAACUGCAUCCUCCUGUUUUAAAAAUCAGUAUCUUUAUAACUAAUAAAAAACACAGGAUUACUCUUCUUUCUUUGGCAAGGAGUGACAGAGGCAGAGGACAGGUAGCAGUGGGUUUCUGAAGUCAAGGCAAAUUAAAUGAGCCCUCACUACUCCCUGAAGGCAAUUAUUCCUGAAUCUAAUGUCAAUGAAGGUACUCAAUCCAACAAUGCUUACUCACCUCACUCGCCUCUAGUUACAGAAUAGUUUAUAUUAAAAUCCUGAAAGCACACUAUAUAUGGAAAUCAUUUUGUACAUAUUAAUCUCAUUUGAGCUUUGUGAGAAAGGACUUUAGAACACAGGCUGAAGCAGGCAGAUUAAUGGUUUGACCAAGAACAUACAACUAGCCAAUGACAUUACUAAUAUUAGGUUUUUAUUAAAAAAAUUUUUUUUAAUGUUUAUUUACUUUUGAGACAGACAGUGAGAGGGGGAAGGGCAAAGACAGAGGGAGACACAGAAUCUGAAGGAGGCUCCAGGCUUUAAGCUGUCAGCACAGAGCCCGAUGCGGAGCCUGAACUCACAGACUGGGAGAUCAUGACCUGAGCCAAAGUCAGACACUUAACCAACUGAGCCACCCAGGUGCCCCAUUAAUAUUAGAUUUUUAAAUCUGAUUUUUAUUCCAAUUCUUUUUACUACUCUUUUUACCAAAUUUUUUUUUUUAAACACUUUUUCUCAGGAUUGCCUUCUAAUUUCUCAUAUCCAUGGCUUUAAAGGAGAGGGCAACUGUCAACCGAUAUGCACUAUGUCCCUUCUGUUUUACAUAUAAAACAUAUGUCCCUUCUGUUUUAUCUCAUUUAAUCCUUCCAGAUGUCAUUCUGAAAAUAAUUUACUCAAGUUUAUCCAGCUAGGAAGUGGUAGAACUUCUAUUCAAACCCUGAUCUUUCACCUAUACUAGUGUUCUCAAACUUUAAUGUGCAUUUGAAUUACCUGGGAACCGUAUAAAGCUGAUUUAGAUUUGGCAGCUCUGAAGUAGGGCCUGAGAGCCUGCAUUUCUUAACGCUGUUGUCAGGUGAUGUCAGUGAUGUUGGUCCCAUACUGACUGCUGUCCAGGGACCACACUUUUGAGCACUAAAGCUUUUUACAUCAAAGAAAAGCAGAUGUCAGAUCAGACCAGCUUUCAACACAGGUCUGUGAUGUCAGAUCAGACUAGCUUUCAACAUGGGUCUGUGGAUGGCUUUCUGAGUUCAAAGCCAAUCUAGUUCUAUUCCAGUAAGCUGCUUCACUCUCAUUAAAUAUACAUCUUACAAGGGCAACAGUUUAAAAAGGUAUUUUUUGGCAUGCAACCACACAAAAAAUUCUGAGUUAACCGUUAGGUGGUGCCAAAAGAGUAAAUCUUAAACAAUCAUCCAAUGGUUCCUAAUUAAGAAUUUUAUUCAAUGCCUCUGCUAUUAAUGUUUGCUUUUCCCCCAUAGCACGAGUCAUUCAAAAUAAGUAUAUCAUUUAUCUAAACCACCUAUAGCCUUACUUUUUUCGGUCAUAGCCAAAGAUUUCUCGAAUGUGCUUGGAUAUUUCUUCCUGAGGUUCUCCUUCAUCUUCGAUAAAAUCUUCCAUUUCAGAGUCAUAUUCAUCAUCAUCUUCCUCCUCUUCAUAUUCUCGUUGCCUUUUGUAACCACUAGGGAAGGGAAGCCUUUGAGGACCUAAGAAUAGAAAAGUCAUUAUUUAUAGGAGCAUUAAAACUGAAAAUAGUCCCAACAAAGUUUUACAUAAACUGAGAUUUUAAGAAUUCAUUAAGACAGUAUUCUCAAAAACCAGAGCCAGCAAACUGGCCCAUAGCAUGGACUCAUUACGAAAUCACCCCUGCUGCUUCAUGUUGUCUACAAGGAGUAGAAUUUCUGUUUAUCCCAGGGCUUACCAGAAGCAUCUGUCACAUCUUGUAGCCUAACAGCUGCCUUCCUUCUGGAUUUAAAAGACUGAUAAAAAGAAAAUUACAAAUAGCUUACAGGAUCUCUAACUUUUAAUUCUGCCAUGAAAAAGACACCAAAAGUAACAACCUACCAUCUAUUAUCACAAUUUCAUUCCUUUUUUUUUUUAGAAGUCCAACAAAGUAUGAAAGAUUCCCAGAAUUAUGGAUAAUUAUUGAAAUGAGUAAGUCUGACUUUAAAAGAAAAUCACUACAUUAUCAUUAUUUUGUCAUUUUGCCAAAAGGCUGAAUAAAACUUUGCAAAAGACAGGCAAUGAUCAAUAGAACAGCAUCUGGGAACAACUGCUUUCUAGUCCUUGAUUACAGACACUCCUUUUAUUGAUCUACAGUUGUUUUUAAUACGCAUGGCUUGUCUCCUUAGCUCGGCUCAACUUCUGCACUGUUGACAUUUUGGGCCAGAUAAUUCUUUGUGAGCAGACUCUCCUGUGUCCUAUAGUAUAAUAGCAGCAUCCCUGGCCUCCAUCUACUAGAUACCAGUAGCAUCCCCUGGGCCCAGUGGUGUCAGUCAAAAAUGUCUCCAGACACUGCCAAAUGUUCACUGGGCAUCAAAAUCAUCCUUGGUUGAGAACCAAUGUUCUAGCUGAACUAAGAAGUUAAAGCAUGGAAUCUUACCUAAGUAGAUUCAUAAAGGACCAGUAGCUAGGGCCUUGAUGUGCUGCCCACUACAAGGAGCAGAAACACAAGGGCAGUUCCUGGUACAUUGUGGAUACUUAAAAAGUAUCUGAUGAAUAAAUAAUGCACCAAAGGCUUCAAGUUUACAAAUAUACUCCAACUUUUGAAGAAAGGUCUCUCUAGUUCUCAUGAGAAGGUAAAGAUGAAUUAAUUCAUUGAACCAUAUAAGGCAUAUUCACUCAUCCUGUCUCACAAAUCACAUAGCCAAGUUUCAUGCACUUGGAGACGUUGCAGGGGUGAACACAGAGGGUCCUAGAUAACUCUCUUUGUAAAGCCUUUUCCAAGUUAUGAUCACUAAAGGGACUCUCAGGCAUAAAGAGAGACAGAGCAUCAGGAUUCUAUCAAUACAGGAGUACAUUAAAGGGCACAUGGAAGGGUUCACAGGGUCUCAGUUUAUGUAAAACAAAGUACUCUUUCCAAUUUCCUAGUAACAAGUCAAUAUCCUUAGGGUGAAGGACAGUUUUACCUUGGGCAGAUCUGUAGCCAGAUAAGGAAGGCUUCAUUCCAUUCAUCUGUCCAUUGCUGGAUCGGCUAAUUAUAUUCUUGGAAGAAAUUGUUUCUGAGACAACGGUACACUUGGGUUUUAGGGGGAGACUGGAGCUACUAACUGUUCGCCCAGGUCCCAAGCUGCUCACUGGUCUUCCAGGGCCUGAACUACUGACCGUCCGUCCGGCUGGAACUGAGCCACUGACUGGCCGCCCAGGGCCACUGACUGGCCGUCCAGGGCCACUGACUGGCCGCCCAGGGCCACUGACUGGCCGUCCAGGGCCACUGACUGGCCGCCCAGGGCCACCAGAGCUGCCCAAAGACUUCCUAGAAUCACCUGAGCCAGGGGUGGGUCGUCCAGGUCCACUUGAGCUAUUUGCAGGAUGCCCAGGGCCACUUGUACCACUGAGUGUCCGUCCAGAGAGAUUUAAGUCACUGGCUGGCCUCUUGGUCCCACUGACUGAUCGCUCAGGUCCUGAGCUGGGGCUGCCAUUCUGGCGCCUGGGCAUGGGGCCAGAACUAACUGCAGGCCGAGCAGUCCCUGUGCUGGGCCGCCCGGGAGCUGAGCUGGAGCUGCUGCCUGGCUGCCUGACGACACCUGGACUCUUGGCUUUAUUGUGUGGGGUAACCACAGGCCCAGGCCUGGAAUGGCUAGGAUGGGGAGGAGAUUUUUUGGCUUUGUGCUCAGUAGCAGAUUUCUGAGGCCCUUUAGCAGAAGUCUUUGGGACACUUGGUGAAUAGGUGCUGGAGUGGGGCUUUCCAGCCCCAUUGAAAACAGGUCUGUCAUGGCCCUCUCGAAGUAAGGGCUGGGAGCAAUUGCCAGAUCCUGCUUUGGUCCUCUCUCCUGGCAUGGAUUUGGAUGAAGACACACUUAAGUGUUUUUCAUUGGCUGUACUGGGUCUGGAUUUCUUCUCAGCAUGAGGGAGGGGUGUACCCCUGGAGGAAGGGUGCUUGCCAAGUUUUGUGCCCACACUUUCUUUCUGAGAAGGUGCCUUUUUGGCUGGAGGUAGUCUUGCAUCUGUCUCAGCUCUCUUUUUCCUCUGUUUCCGUUCAAGGAAUUCUCGCUCCCUAAGUUCUUCUGCAGUCAUAGGCCGCUCUUCUGUUUUCUUCACUACCUUGAUCUCCACUGGUUCAUACUGCUUUUUCUCGGCCAGCCUGAGUAGAUCAGUGAAGUUCAUGAGUGGCGGGGCACUUUUAAGGGGGACCUUUGGUUUGCUUUCAACUUUGGGAGGUUCUUGCUCCUCCUCAUACUCCUGCUCUGACUCUGCUUGAUUGUACUCUAAGAAUUCAUCAUCUUCUUCCAUCCCAUACUCUUGUUCUGUUCCCUGGCUAGUGUGGCUUUCCAUCACCUGCCUCUUCUUUGACUUUUCCUCAACGGGAAUCCCGUUGUAACCAUGGAAAUUAUCCUUUGUCCUCUUGGCCAUAGCUCUUGCCUUCUUAUCAUGUUUUAGCUCAAUUCGCUUUUUCACUAGUUCUUCUUUUCUCCUUUUCUCCUCUAAAGCUAAAAUGGAGAAAACAAGAACAAAGUAUUUCAAGGUCUGGAGGUCUCAAGUAUGUUCAUCCGAAAUCAGUAGGUGGCCAAAACACAGGCAACAUUCAAGUUACAGUUUGAAGACAUCUAGGAAUCAAAGGAGGAAGUCCUUUGAACAAGUAUCAGUUGAGUCAUCUUUACAUAAUGAGUGGGUUACAUAUGGGGUUUUCAAUAUGACAAAGCAAGCGAGAGGCUGGGGUUUUAGCUUUAAAUAUAGAAAAUAAUUCAUACCAAAUAAAGAUACCAAGUUAAGGAAACAGUAGGAACCACUUCACAGUCAUUAUUAACUAUGAAUAAAUGAAUACGUAAAUGUAUUAAAUCAGUUUCCUUGUCAUUUGCAUGAGGUAAAACUACUGUUUAAGUUUGCUGGUCUUCAAAAAUUGUCCCUAUUUUUAACCUUUAAGAUAGCAUUCUUGAUAAUUAAAAAAUUUAAAAUACAAAAUAUGUAGAAGCAGAUUCAGAAUGAAGGUCAAAGAAUGGAGUUCUUAUUGGGACCAAGUGUGGCCAAUUGCAAGAUAUGGCCGCUAUCCCCAAAAGCACUAAGAAGAAAUAAAAGAUAACAUCCAUACAAAUGAUCAGCAUGAGAACACAUGUAAUAUGCUCUAAAUACAGCUGACUCAGGCACACAAAUCCCUUAGCCUAUUAAGUUACUACAAGCAUCCGCUAGUUAAGUACAAGCUAGUUGUGAAGGUAGAAGACUUUAAAAUUGACAAUAAAGCUAUAGAUAUGUACCUUUUUGCCGGAGCUCCUCUUCUUUUCGUCUGAGAAAAGCCUGAACAGCUGCAGAUUGGACACCCUUGACUUUUGGGUCUUUUUUGGGAGGCCCCACUGCCAAACUAUACCUUUUCUAAAAAUAAAAAAAGUUAAAGUUAAAAGCAAUUCAACUUUAAAAAUGUAUUUGCUAUUAGGUGUAAGGCAUUGUACCAAGCAAUAGAGAGGUUUACAUACUGACUGAAAAACGGAUUCUGAAUAAGAGAUCAUAUAACUAACAUGGAAGCUUAGCUAUAAAAUUUUGGUCUAAAUAGGAUUAUGCAUGACUGUUUUUAGGUACAGAAUUUCUUUGUAACAUCCUAAAUAAUGCACACAUGAAGAAUUCAGAGAAAUGCUAUUUUUAUGUUAUUUUCCCAAAUAGGUACUUGGACUGGGGGACUUUUAAAAAGAAAUCAUCACUUGGAAUGGACUGUUUAAAAAUUCUGAAUAAAAAAAAAAAUCGACCUUUAGAACUAAGCAUUUCAAAGUGUAACUUUUCAAACAAACAGAAAAAACUACUCAUAAAAUGUUUUCUCUCCUGAAUACCUUAUUCCAGACUAUUUUCUAGUAAGACUCACAGCUACACAGGUUAUUUUGCUUACAGUAUAAAACACUGAGAUUUUACUUUGACCAUAGGCAAAGCUGGUGGCAAACCAAAGCUAAAAAGCAUUUCAAGGAAAUCUAAGCAGCAAGAAGUGCCCAAUUCUCUGUACUUUUAACCACAGCUCUUAUGUUCAUUAAAUAUUUGUUACAUAAUUAGAAAGGUUUCCAUAUCACCCAAAAAAUACUAAUCUUAUCCUGGCGCAGAUGAUAUUAAUCUGGGUUUUGAUUUUUAUGUAACUACACUGGGAAAUGACUAAAACCAUAGUAAUGUUAAUUUGAACUACAACAGGAAAAACAUUUCCAUUGUAUAAGUAUCUAUCAUAAGAGAAGUAUGAUAAACAGAAUAACUCAGACCAGGAUGAUUCAUCUCAAGGACUAUUGCACAUUAAAUAUAUGGAUAGAAUAUGUUUUCACUCUUAUGUUGAUCCUGAGAAACUUAACAGAAGACCAUGAGGGAGGGGAAGGAAAAAAAAACAAGGUUAGGGAGGGAGGGAGCCAAAACAUAAGAGACUCCUAAAAACUGAGAACAAACUGAGGGUUGAUGGGGGGUGGGAGGGGUGGGAGGGAGGGGGGGGUGGGUGAUGGUUAUUGAGGAGGGCACCUGUUGGGAUGAGAACUGGGUGUUGUAUGGAAACCAAUUUGACAAUAAAUUUCAUAUAAAAAAAUUAAAUAAAUAAAUAAAUAAAUAAAUAAAUAAAUAAAUAAAUAAAUCUAUGGAUAGCAAAUAAGUUUUUAAAUGCUUUCCCUCUUUUGUUAGGCUGAUGACAUUCUUAUCCACUAAACCUGUUAUUGUGCUAGUUAAAAAGGAAACACUAACCCCCCUGAGCACAAAUCCAGCUACUUAAAAACCAAAAAAACAGACUCCCCAAAUGUGCAUGAAAUUCUUGGGAGGAAAGCCAAGGAUCCAUGCUUACUAUGUGGCUAGCCAAAUACAAGACAUCCGAAACAGACUGGAAGUUCCAGCUAAGUUAGUUCACCAGUGAAGCAGGCCCUAAUCCAGCAUGAAAAUCCUGCACGAUAGCAAUGCUGUGACCUGACACAUCCCUGACAGAAAUCCCAAAAGAGAGCACCCAGAUUCCUCUCCCAGUCAGCUUGGUUGAAUCACCAUAAAACCCAGUAAUAAGUCCCUAUCUUUGUAAAUUUAGUUGUAGAUGCUUUCCAUUGUGGAUUGGAGCCCAAUAUUUAAAGAAGAAAAGGAGAGGGAGGGCACACUGAGGAGAAAGAGAAUACUGCUUUACCUAACUGCCUAUAUAUAAAUUGUCCUCAUUUACAAGAACCUCAAACAUAAGCUUUAUCUACAAAAAGUUUAUAUUUUCUUAAUGGAAGAGCCACCAUGAAUAGGACUCAAGUUGCAUAAGAUAUACACAGACUCAUACGCAGAGACAUAUACUCACUUCACCCUAUCCAGUUAGUAAGAUUUGUAAGAGGAAAGAUGGAUUUUUUUUUUUUUUUUGCCAAGACUUAAGAUUUUCCUGUCCCCGCCAACAACCUAGUCCAUAUGUUCACCUGCCAAAUCAAAGCUUAUACAAAGCACCCCCCCCCCAACCCCGCCCAGCCUCAAAUGCCAAUAUACAUGUUAGUGUUACCUUGAACAGCACUGGUUCAUUAUCUACAUAUUACAGCAAAAAGCACUUCCUAAUUUGACUUCAGGAUAGACAUAUUUCUUCCUAACCUGAGACUUCAAGGGAUAGGUAAUGGGAUAUGACUAGCUGAAAAGCUACUCACGACUGCAUACAGGCACCAACGGCGUCAAUGGAGUACAGUUUACUAAGCUUCAGUCAUUUGCAUAACACCUGCAUGAUUUUUGCCCUUUUAGUAUACCAUCUGCACUAUUAUUUACUAAUUUUAAGAAAAUAUAUAGACCUAACACUAUGACUUAUUAUUAUAGCUUUACUUCAAGCAAUAAUAUCCAUGAAAUGAUUGGCUUGAGGGCUAGUUACAUUUCUGCAAAUCAUGUUAAAAUAUAACCAUUAAACACACACACACACACACAGCAUUUUGGAAAAUGCCAAAAAGGAACAUAAAAAUACAGGAAAGGCAGAACUCAAAGAAGAAACAAGGGAGUGGGGUGUUCAGGCUCUCAGAUUUACUCAGAAAAGAAGUGCAAAGAUUACUUUUAGCUUUUUCUUCUUUUCAUAUUAAAUACAAUUUUUUGUCAAAUUGGUUUCCAUACAACACCCAGUGCUCAUCCCAACAGGUGCUCUCCUCAAUGCCCAUCACCCACUUUCCCCUCUCCCCCACCCCCCAUCAACCCUCAGCUUGUUCUCAGUAUUUAAGACUCUCUUAUGGUUUGCUUCCCUCCCUCUCUGUAACUUUUUUUUCUCCCUUCCCCUCCCCCAUGGUCUUCUGUUAAGUUUCUCAGGAUCCACAUGAGUGAAAACAUAUGGUAUCUGUCUUUCUCUGCCUGACUUAUUUCACUUAGCAUAAUACUCUCCAGUCCCAUCCACGUUGCUGCAAAGGGCCAGAUUUCAUUCUUACUCAUUGCCAAGUAGUAUUCCAUUGUACAUAUAAACCACAUCAUCUUUAUCCAUUUGUCAGUUGAUGGACAUUUAGGCUCUUUCCAUAAUUUGGCUGUUGUUGAAAGUGCUGCUAUAAACAAUGGGGUACAGGUGCCCCUAUGCAUCAGCACUCCUGUAUCCCUUGGGUAAAUUCCUAGCGGGGCUAUUGCUGGGUCAUAGGGUAGGUCUAUUUUUAAUUCUUUGAGGAACCUCCACACUGUUUUCCAGAGCGGCUGCACCAGUUUGCAUUCCCACCAACAGUGCAAGAGGGUUCCCGUUUCUCCACAUCCUCUCCAGCAUCUAUAGUCCUGAUUUGUUCACUUUAGCUUUUUUCAAAGCAUCCACCUAUUUUCAACCACUCACACUGCCAAUUUUAAAUUCAGCUUUUUUGUUUUAGCACCUUUAAUACUCAAGGGUAUUUGUCAAGCUGACUUUACUUUUACCCCAACAACUCUGCAGUACUUUUUGUUCUGUCCUAUGAUGUAGAAGGGAUUCAAUAAAUCUAUUAAAAGUCUCAUUUCAUGGGUCUGCUAGGAAACAAGAAGGGCAAGGUCCUAACUUGAUGAGGCUUAAUCUUAUUCACUGACAUGAGCUGAGUCAUAAUUAACAGUUUCUUACAUCCGCUGUAGCUUGAUGCACUCAAAAGCAGAUACCAGGAAAAUAUUAAAAUAUUCUCUUAGGCAAACUUUAGGUCAAAACCUAGAAAUCUGGGGUUAGAAAAAAAAAGGGGGGGGGGGUCCCGUAUCUCCAUAGGAAAUAUUCUUCUUUCUUAACUGUUUUGAGACACAAUUCACAUACCAUAAAAUCCAUCCUUUAAAAACAAUUUUUUUUUUUAAAUUUUAGAGAGAGUGAGUGA